CCUACGGGAGGCAGCAGUGAGGAAUAUUGGUCAAUGGACGCAAGUCUGAACCAGCCAUGCCGCGUGCAGGAUGACGGCUCUAUGAGUUGUAAACUGCUUUUGUACGAGGGUAAACCCCGAUACGUGUAUCGUGUUGAAAGUAUCGUACGAAUAAGGAUCGGCUAACUCCGUGCCAGCAGCCGCGGUAAUCCGGAGGAUCCGCGCGUUAUCCGGAUUUAUUGGGUUUAAAGGGUGCGUAGGCGGUUUGAUAAGUUAGAGGUGAAAUGUCGGGGCUCAACCCCGAAACUGCCUCUAAUACUGUUGGACUAGAGAAUAGUUGAGGUAGGCGGAAUGUAUGGUGUAGCGGUGAAAUGCUUAGAGAUCAUACAGAACACCGAUUGCGAAGGCAGCUUACCAAACUAUAUCUGACGUUGAGGCACGAAAGCGUGGGUAGCAAACAGGAUUAGAUACCCUUGUAGUC
rnacentral:rRNA from 1 species